rnacentral:tRNA from 1 species
AAAAGCUUAGGAUUAGAUCUUAAACCAGUGGUCUUCAACACCACAAACAAGGGAGGACCCUUAGCUUUUG